rnacentral:miRNA from 1 species
UCGUAGAACGAUGCUAGACC